GCCUAUUUAAAGGCAUGGCUGUCCACCUUGUUAAACACUUAUCAUUAUUAUUAAAAUUUCAGAUUUGUUGAGAGCAGAAUUUUCUUUGAGUUUUCUCCAAGAUUUUUCUCUUGAGUUUUCUUUAGAAGUUGUUUUAACAAUCUUUUGAUUGUGGGAGCCAUCUUCAACCUUCUUCUUGCCAUUGAUAUUCUUUGGAGGGGAGAUUAGAGCCGUUUGAAGGGAGUUGUGAGAUCUUUCGAGAUUUCAAGGCUUCUUAGGACUUAUCUUUUAAUUUCUUACUGC
rnacentral:lncRNA from 1 species